rnacentral:rRNA from 1 species
GCAGUCGCCGCGGUAAUACAGAGGGUGCUAGCGUUAAUCGGAUUUACUGGGCGUAAAGCGUGCGUAGGCGGCUUCUUAAGUCGGAUGUGAAAUCCCUGAGCUUAACUUAGGAAUUGCAUUCGAUACUGGGAAGCUAGAGUAUGGGAGAGGAUGGUAGAAUUCCAGGUGUAGCGGUGAAAUGCGUAGAGAUCUGGAGGAAUACCGAUGGCGAAGGCAGCCAUCUGGCCUAAUACUGACGCUGAGGUACGAAAGCAUGGGGAGCAAACAGGAUUAGAUACCCCAGUAGUCCCUGUCUCUUAUAC